rnacentral:snRNA from 1 species
AUCGCUUCUCGGCCUUUUGGCUAAGAUCAUGUGUAGUAUCUGUUCUUAUCAGUUUAAUAUUUUUUUUAGGCAAAUAUAGUUAAAUAUGUUAAAAUUCUCC